AACGUGUAUCAGUUAUCAGUGUUACCGAGUACCGCCGUAUCUUUGAAAUUUGGAAUUGGAUAAGAACUUUAAAAAAGUUACUUUGGGGGAGGUCAAGAGAAGUAGCCUGGAACAAGAAACCGAUGACAUUCCAACUAAUCCAGAGAAGUCAACCAUGAAGAAAGUCAUGACUACAGAGUACAAUGCUGCUGAAACUUCUACUAGCUCCAUCGUGCGAGCCGAGAAUAUUCAGACAGCUCAGAGACAACUUUUGCAGCAGACCACCGUGCCUCCAACAGUAGAUGGCUAUCACAACAAGACCAGCCUAGUACGGACAUCUACAACACUAGAUAUGGAAUUGGCUAAGAACUUGGAAGCAUUUACUCUGGGAGAGUUCAAGAGAAGUAACCUGGAACAACAAACUGAUGACAUUCCAAGUAAUCCAGAGAAGCCAACCAUGAAGAAAGUCACGACUACAGAGUACAAUGCUGCUGACACUUCUAGCUCCAUCGUACAACCAGAGAAUAUUCAGACAACUCAGAGACAACCUUUACAGCAGACCACCGUGCCUCCAACAGUAGGUAGAGGAAGGGGCAAGUUACUGCAAAAGCUGGCAGACUUUCACAAGAAGACCAGCUCAGGGAGAACAUGUACAACACAAGACAUGGAAUUGGCUAAGAACUUGGAAGCAUUUACUCUGGGAGAGUUCAAGAGAAGUAACCUGGAACAACAAACUGAUGACAUUCCAAGUAAUCCAGAGAAGCCAACCAUGAAGAAAGUCAUGAUCACAGAGUACAAUGCUGCUGAAACUUCUAGCUCCAUCGUACAACCAGAGAUUAUUCAGACAACUCAGAGACAACCUUUACAGCAGACCACCGUGCCUCCAACAGUUGGUAGAGGAAGGGGCAAGUUACUACAAAAGCUGGCAGAGCUAGCCAGUAUACCAUGUACAUCAACCGCAUACCAAGAUACUGCCAGAGACAGAGAGGAGAAUCGCAGAGAUUUGGCAAUACUACCGUCUGGGAUCAGCGUUGGAACAGCUGCGAAACAACUCCCUGACAACAGUUUUUCAACCAGUUAAAUGUGCAGGAAGAGGGAGGAUGGCGGAAUACUUACAAAGAAAAAUCGCCAGUCUGGCAGACCAUACAGUAACGUCCGUAAACUAUCCAAGUCCAACAAAGAAAACUCCUGGUACUACCACUACCUUUGGAGAUACUUCUA